rnacentral:sRNA from 1 species
GUUUGCACUUGUCGGGGAAGGGUGAGAGCCGUCGAUUAAGGUUCAACUCGAGCGAAAGCGAGAGAAAGUUGCCAACGGCAACGACCCGAAGGGUGAGGAGCGAAGCGACGAAUAAUCCUUCCCCCACAACCA